CCUCCCCUGCCAGAUUUCUCUGAAAUGAUACCUCCUGGAAGAACAGUCCUACUUCAGAAAACAAAAACAGCCGUGCACUUUCAUGACGCCAGCUAUAGUAUAUCACUCAUACACCCAUCAUGUCAACAUGAGUAAUCAUAGUAGUUGAGCCACGUAACAUGCAACCUUUCACACAGUGCUUGUUACAACAUAUUGCACAAGACAGCAUAUGGUAAACACACAGUGUUUUAUAUCUGACGUAUAGUUGCUCUGUGAUUGCCAGAAACCAAGGUUGCAAACAUUGACACUCACUUCUGCAAAGCCAAGAGGUUCACAUUGCGUUUGUGUUCCCUACUGUUGUGCAACAGAGAAGUGGGUGGGAAGGAUCUAAAUACAGAGCUUCCACCAGACAGGGUUUUAUUUAUGGAAAAAAGAAAACAUUUCUUUCAGGAUGAAAAUAUGUUUUAAAAAAAAUGCUUCAAAGGCAAGAAGUAUAAGGUAACCAGUAUUUUUACAACAAAACUCUGUCAGCUGGCAAAACAAGCAUACAUGAAAAAGGGUGACAAUCUUAUCAUGAAGAUAUGCAGGAUAUACUGAAAGAAGGAUAGACUAUGCGGGGUUCAAGUGGGUGAAACAUGCAUGCUUUCAGCAAGACAGUCUGGAUAAACAGGAAUCAUUCUACAGAUGGUGUUUCUUAAUGAAUGAUGCAGAGACAUCGGCAUGUGACAGGUUCUAAUUGCGUGACAUGGUGUGACUCCCAUUGCUUUUUUGCCCUCUGUAUACACCCAUUCUUCUAAUUACAGGAAAUGUCUUUAAUAUAAGCAGCAGUGAUACUCAAACCUGCUAUAGUCUUGUUUUACAAUAUUUAUAUUAUUGAGCCUUAUGUGACUAAUUUCCUUACCAAACCUCCAUGUGAUCCCACAAAGAAGAAAACUAUUGUGAAGGCCGAUUGUACAUGAAUAUAGAGAUUUUUGGUCUUUAACUCUAAAUGUAUAGCAUUUUGCUUCCUUUGUUUUUAGAAUUAAAUGGGAUAAUUGAAUAACUAUUUACAGUGUGCACUAAAGAGUUUAUAGAGGGACACUACCCUCCUAUGACAAUUUUCAUAAUCAAAAAAUGCAAAGUUUAUACUUUGUGAGUGAAUUAAUGAUUGUACAGUAUGAAGUUACUUCUGCCACAAAGGGCUUGUCUACAUUACAAAAUGUUAAUGUGUUUGAACACAGCUGUGAAGAAUCAGGUUAGCUGAUAUGAUGCUGAUCGUGGUUUAAUGAUUUGCAGGACUGCCCCCCCCCAGCUGAUUAAAUAUAUAUAAAAAAAAAGGUCAAAUGCACAUGAGUUAAACUUAAGGCAAGUAUACAAUGGCUAACAAACCAAAAGUUUGGCAAGAAUGGCUAACAAAACAAAAUGGGCAAGAACUAAAACAAA